rnacentral:sRNA from 1 species
AGGGCGACCCCGGACAGCUGCCGGACCCCCGACCUGGCAGCUGUGCGGGGUCACUUC